AAAAACAAAAAAAACCAGAGCAGCAGCAACGAUCUGAGAAGGAAUGUUAAUUUACUAUGAUCUUGUGACCUGCCAGGAUGGAAAGACUGUUGAUGUGGUCUACCUUGACUUCAGCAAAGCCUAUGACUUUGUAUUCUCCUGGAGAAGCUGGCAGCCCGUGACUUGGACAGGUACACUCUUUGCUGGGUAAGGAGCUGACUGGAGGGCUGGGCCCAGAGAGUGGUGGUGAAUGGAGUUAAAUCCAGCUGGCGACCGGUCACAAGUGGUGUUCCCCAGGGAUCGGUGCUGGGACCUGCCCUCUUCAGUAUGUUUAUUGAUGACCUGGGAGAGGGCACGGAGUUCACCCUCAGUAAGUUUGCAUGUGAUACCAAGUUGGAAGGUAGUGUCAAUCUGCCUGGUGGUAGUAAAGCCCUACAGAGGGAUGUGGACAGGCUGAAGUCAGUGGGAUGAGAUUCAGCAAGACCAAAUGCUGGGUCCUGCACUUUGGCCACAACAACUCCAGGUAACACCACAGGCUUGGUGCAAAGUGGCUGAAAGACUGUGUAGAGGAAAGGAACCUGAAUAUAUUGGGCGAUGCUCGGCUGAACAUGAUCCAACAGUGUGCCCAGGUGGCCAAGAAGGCCAAUGGUAUUGUGGCUUGUAUCAGAAAUAGUGCUGCCAGCAGAAGCAGGGAAGUAAUUUUGCCUCUGUACUCAACACUGGUGAGGCCGUAUCUUGAGUACUGUGUUCAGUUUUGGGCCCCUCACUGCAAAAAAGACAUCAAGGCCCUGGAGCAUGUUAAGAGAAGGGCAAUGAAGCCGGUGAGGGGUCUGGAGCACAGACCUUAUGAGGAGUGGUUGAGGGAGUUGGGUUAGAAGCAAAGGUUAAAGGUUACCCAUUUUUGGGUUUGGUUGAAGGGUUUUGCUUUUCAGUUAGGGUUAAGGGUUACCCAUUUGGGUUGAGGCUUAAGGGUUAAUUUAACAUUUUGUUUUAGGUUUAAGGGUUAUGGAUUAUCAUUUUGUGGUUUGUGUUAAGAAUUUCAGUUCUGGUUUAGGGUUGUCAGUAACCCGUUUGGGUUAAGGGUUUACCAUUUGGGUUACAGUUAAGGGUUAAGGAUUACUUAUUUGGGUUAAGAGUUAAGGCUUAACCUUUUGGGUUGAGGAUUAAAAGUUACUCAUUUGGGUUAGGAAUAAGGUUUAUCUGUUUGAGUUAAUGGUUAGGGUUAAAGGUUAUCAUUUCGGGUUAGGCUUAAGGGAAAAGGAUUAAAAUUUUGGCUUAGGGUUAAUGGUUACCCAUUUGUGUUAAGGUUAAAGGCGAAGGGUUACCGUUUUUGUUUGAGAUAAGGAUUGCAGUUCUGGGUUAGUGUCAAGGGUUUAGAGUUACUCAUUUGGAUUGAAGUUUAAGGGUUAACAUUUUGGUUUAGGUUUAAGGAUUACCCUUUUGGGUUAGGGUUAAGUGUUACACUUUUUUGGUAGUAUUAAGGGACUUGGGAUACUCAUUUGAAUUAUGGUUAAGGGUUACCUAUUUGUGUUAAGGCAAAGGGUUAAUGGCUACCCUUUUGGGUUGGGGUUAGGUGAUUCCCCUUUGUGUUAGGGUUAAGGGUUACCCAUUUAGCUUAGGACUAAGAGUUACCCAUUUGCAUUACGGCUAAGAGUUACUCAUUUAGUUUAGAGUUAAGGAUUAUUUAUUUGGGUUAUAUCUAAGGGUUACCAUUCAAUGUUAUGAUUAAGGGUUAUUUAUUUGGGUUAUAGAUAAGAGUUACCAUUGAAUGUUAUGGUUAAGGGUUGAGGGUUUCCCUUCUGGGUGAGGAUUAAAGGUUACUGUUUUGUGUUAUUGGUAAGGGCUACCCUUCUUUGUUAAGAGAAAUGUUUACCCUUUUGAUUUAGAUUUAAGGAUUAAACUUUGUUUUUUGAGAUUAGGGAUAAGGGUUACCCAUUUAGGUUAGAGUAAAGGGUCACGCAAUGACCAUUUGGGUUAGGGUUAAAAGUUACACUUUUGUAUUAGCAUCAAGGGUUACCCAUCUGGGGAAUGGUUAAGGGGUAAGGGUUACCAAUUUGUGUUAAGGUUAACACUAACAGUUAAGGGUUACACAUUUGUAUUAAAGAUAUAUCUUUUUGAAUAAGGGUUAAUGGUUACCACUUAGUGUUAGGGUAAAGGAUUACUAUUUUGAGUUAGUGUUAAAGCUUACCCUUUUGAGAUAUGGUUAGUGCUGAUUGUGUUAGUGCUAUGUGUUACCAUUUGGAGUUAGUGCUAAUGGUUUACUAUUUGUUUUAGUGUUAUGUGCAAACCUUUUGGAUUAUGGUUAAGGGUUACACUUUUGGUUUAGGGUUAAGUGCUAAGAUUUACACUAAGUGCUAAGAAUUUUGGUUAUUGUUAAGGGAAUCCCAUUUUGGUUAGCAUUAAGAAUUACCCAUUUGGGUAACUGUUAAGGGUUA
ensembl:lncRNA